rnacentral:rRNA from 1 species
CCUACGGGAGGCAGCAGUAGGGAAUUUUCCACAAUGGGCGCAAGCCUGAUGGAGCAACACCGCGUGAGUGACGAAGGGUUUCGGCUCGUAAAGCUCUGUUGUUGGAGAAGAACGUGCGUGAGAGUAACUGUUCACGCAGUGACGGUAUCCAACCAGAAAGUCACGGCUAACUACGGGCCAGCAGCCGCGAUAAUACGUAGGUGGCAAGCGUUAUCCGGUUUUAUUGGGCGUAAAGCGAGCGCAGGCGGUUGCUUAGGUCUGAUGUGAAAGCCUUCGGCUUAACCGAAGAAGUGCAGCGGAAACCGGGCAACUUGAGUGCAGAAGAGGACAGUGGAACUCCAUGUGUAGCGGUGGAAUGCGUAGAUAUAUGGAAGAACACCAGUGGCGAAGGCGGCUGUCUGGUCUGCAACUGACGCUGAGGCUCGAAAGCAUGGGUAGCGAACAGGAUUAGAUACCCGGGUAGUC